rnacentral:rRNA from 1 species
AGUGAACGCUGGCGGUAGGCCUAACACAUGCAAGUCGAACGGCAGCACAGUAAGAGCUUGCUCUUACGGGUGGCGAGUGGCGGACGGGUGAGGAAUACAUCGGAUUCUACUUUUUCGUGGGGGAUACGUAGGGAAACUUACGAUAAUACCGCAUACGACAUACGGGUGAAAGCAGGGGUUCUUCGGACCUUGCGCGAUCGAAUGAGCCGAUGUCGGAUUAGCUAGUUGGCGGGGUAAAGGCCCACCAAGGCGACGAUCCGUAGCUGGUCUGCGAGGAUGAUCAGCCACACUGGAACUGAGACACGGUCCAGACUCCUACGGGAGGCAGCAGUGGGGAAUAUUGGACAAUGGGCGCAAGCCUGAUCCAGCCAUACCGCGUGGGUGAAGAAGGCCUUCGGGUUGUAAAGCCCUUUUGUUAGGAAAGAAAAGCAGCAGGUUAAUCCCCCGCUGUUCUGACGGUACCCAAAGAAUAAGCACCGGCUAACUUCGUG